UAGGGAAUCUUCGGCAAUGGACGAAAGUCUGACCGAGCAACGCCGCGUGAGUGAAGAAGGUUUUCGGAUCGUAAAACUCUGUUGUUAGAGAAGAACAAGGACGUUAGUAACUGAACGUCCCCUGACGGUAUCUAACCAGAAAGCCACGGCUAACUACGUGCCAGCAGCCGCGGUAAUACGUAGGUGGCAAGCGUUGUCCGGUUUUAUUGGGCGUAAAGCGAGCGCAGGCGGUUUCUUAAGUCUGAUGUGAAAGCCCCGGGCUCAACCGGGGAGGGUCAUUGGAAACUGGGAGACUGGAGUGCAGAAGAGGAGAGUGGAAUUCCAUGUGUAGCGGUGAAAUGCGUAGAUAUAUGGAGGAACACCAGUGGCGAAGGCGGCUCUCUGGUCUGUAACUGACGCUGAGGCUCGAAAGCGUGGGGAGCAAACAGG
rnacentral:rRNA from 1 species